rnacentral:rRNA from 1 species
CAGCCGCCACGGUAAUACAGAGGGUGCAAGCGUUAAUCGGAAUUACUGGGCGUAAAGCGCGCGUAGGUGGUUUGUUAAGUUGGAUGUGAAAGCCCCGGGCUCAACCUGGGAACUGCAUCCAAAACUGGCAAGCUAGAGUACGGUAGAGGGUGGUGGAAUUUCCUGUGUAGCGGUGAAAUGCGUAGAUAUAGGAAGGAACACCAGUGGCGAAGGCGACCACCUGGACUGAUACUGACACUAAGGUGCGAAAGCGUGGGGAGCAAACAGGAUUAGAUACCCCCGUAGUCCCUGUCUCUUAUAC